AUUUUCUUAAUUUAAAGUGGGUGACAAUUUUAAUUGAUGAGCAUGUAUAUACUCAAGCUCACAAUGCAACCAUUCACCACCAACACAACACAUUCGACUUUCCUCUGACAAAGCUUUCACCUUCCGGCGUCGAACUCUUCAAGUGUGGCCAUGAAAAGAAGAAGAAAGGGCUCAAUUGGCUCUUCUAGGGCUACCACAAGAAGGGGCAAAAGGGUAGCAGUAGCAGAGAAAGUUGAUGAUGAUGAGCCAGAAAGUCAACAACUUGGGGUUUCUUUUGCUGAUCUUCCAACCCACGUCAUUGGUCAUAUUCUGCUAAGACUUCCCAUUAAGUCUAUUGGCAUUUGUAAAUGUGUUUGCACAAGUUGGAAAGCUCUAAUCUCAGACCCACAUUUUACAAAAUUGCACCUUCAGCAAGCCCCAGCUGGUUUUACGAUUCGGGCCAACGAUCGGUCUCGAGUUUCGAGAAUCCUGCACCUUUUAGAGUAUGAGCCUGAAGAUUUUGAAAAUGUUGAGGAUGGCCAAUUUUGCCGUUGUUACUCCUUGAUCAAACCUGAAUGCAACAGCCACUUGAAGCUUGAGCAAAAACUCAAGCUUCCUCUUCGCAGUGGUGCCAAAUUAGAUUUGGAUGAGGCCGAGAAAAGGGGUAGAAAAGGGCAUUAUAUUCCUAGCAAGCCAGAAGACGAUAGGUUUUUUGUGGUGAAUUCUAGUAAUGGCUUGCUUUGCUUGUCUGAUCAUUUAGGAGAAAAUUUCGUUGUUUCCAAUCCAGUCACAGGUGAGUUCAUAAGACUUCCAGAAGCUACUAGAAUUGAUGCAACUGAUUAUAUCCAGCACCGAAGAUCAUAUGUGGGUUUUGGUUUCGAACCCAAAACUGAUGAAUAUAAGGUGGUAAGAAUAUUCCAUUUAGGUUGGGGGGCGAAGGAGGUUAAGUCUAUUGAAAUUUACACAUUAGGAACAUCUACAUGGAGGAAUGUUGGAGGAGUCAAUGCUGCAGAUUUCGUUUGGCUUGAAUUUCCUACUUCUGUGAGUGGGGUACUUCAUUGGAUUGGUUAUUAUCAAACAAAAUUGUCAAUAUUGUGUUUCGACUUUGAAAGCGAGAGUUUCCAGUCCUUCCCUUCUCCUCCUCAUUUAUUUAAAUAUUCUGAUAAAAAGAAUAUCACUAUGGGAGAAUUGAAAGGAUCUCUUUACAUAUGUGAUUCAUCCUCAAAGGAUAAUUAUGUUAGAAUGUGGAUUAUGAAGAAAUAUGGUUUCGGAGAUUCAUGGACUAAUGUUUUCAGCAUCGAUACUAUGAGCAUAGAUGGAUGGCCUUAUGGUGGUCUGUAUUGGCCAGUAAAACACUUAGAGAAUGGUGCUGCUGUAUUGAUGUAUCAUUCCAGUAACUGCUUUAUCUACUAUGAACCUGAAAAUAGUGGAUUGAAAGUUUUUAAGGUUCGUGGGACUUAUUCAGCAUUUGAGGCUAUUCAUCAUAUUCAUUAUUCAGCAUUUGGGCCUAUUCAUCAUAUUCCCAGUCUUAUCUCAUUGAAGGAUGCUGUGAAAGGAGACAAUAUUGAGGUGAUGAAUGUCCACUCACGGUGUGGGAAGUUUAAAUUGCGUGAAGAAAAUGAAGUUCUUUUCUUGGCUAAUGUGAAUGCUGUAGUGGUAAAUUCUAACUUUAUAUCGUUGGAUGAUGAAGAAUAGGUUGAAGAGUACAGCUCCUAACAAGUAAUUGGCGAGUAAAAGGUCAUGCUACAUCGUUUUAAGCUAAAACCUAAGUAACUGCUGGAGAGGAGUUCAGUUGGAGUAUCUUGAGCAUCAUUCUUCGACCAAGUGCUCAUCUUUGAUUAAAGUCUUCGACCCUUAUUAUGAUUCGAUUCAACUUUGACUGAAGUAUGAUGGUUAUGGUUGAGAUUUGCAAGUAAUUUAGUUAAACUGAAUUUAGUUAUUUUUCAUUGAAAAUGGAUCAAAGAUUCAAGUUUCAAAUUCACUUUUGGAGCAGGAAUGGAAAAGAACUGUCCAGCCACAUCGAAGAAAAAACCAUGUCAAUGGACGCGUUGAAGAUUUUUAGCAUAUUAUUAACUAGCCGUUAGGAAGGUAGUUAGAACUUAGCCUAUAAAUAAAACUUGUGUACUUGAAAUUGGAAUUCACAAUUUUCUGCUCAAAAUUUCUAUGGAAAAGUUUAUACAUCUGCUCAAGUGACUGUUAGCAAUGAGGAGAACUUCAAGUAUGAUUUCAUGUGAAACUCUAUUUUAAUGUAAUUGAUGUUUUUUAGGCAAUUCC